GCUCGCGCCCUCUCUCCCGUUCAAAUCCCCCAGCCGCGACCCCAGGACGGGCCGACGAGAAUACUACUCACGUGUCCUCCAAGUGCUGCUCUAAGGUUGCCUCCAUCUCGCCGCGAGUCGCCUCCUUCUUCGCCGCUGGUCUCGGGUGCCCCUCGGUCGGUCACAUGACGCGAGCGGGCCGUGGUCAGGAACGGUGCCUCCAAAGGGACAAACUUCGCGGCGCAGCCUUCGCGUUGUGUCCAGGAUGACAUCUUUACGCGCCCGCCGCCGCGAGCCGGGCGGAGGUUCUGCUGCCUGUGCGUCAGCGGGCGAGGGGAUGGCGCGGAAUGCCGCCGCGGGAGGGAGGUCUGCAGUCGUCCCUCGGAGCCGGCCUCCUGGCCUGUCCCUUUGUCUCCUCCAUACAGACCUUUGGAUUCCAAUUCCACCGACUCCAAGAAGUCGGGCCAGACCCUGUUGAAGUUUUACAAUAACCCGGCCGGUCCGACGGGGUCUCAUCCAGGCGGUGGGGCAGAGAGAGACAAGAGAGACACAGGACCCCGGUGAAGGGUCCCCAGGCUUGUCGGGGAAAAGACUGGACACAGGGACUAGAGGACGAGAUGGAACAAUGCUAAUAGCAUCUACGAACUUAGUGAAGUGUUACUGGUCCUUACUUCAGAGUAGAGAAUGUCGUGAAGACAAGAGGACCCACCUAGUUCUGCACAUCCUGCCAUGAAGAGCAGAGCGAGAAGCUUUUUUGUUGGCUGCCACCGUCUCUCUUGGAAUCUGAAUUUAACUUCGGGAGCUUACCUGUCGUUACAACACUGAAUUACCCUCUUGUAAGACCUUGGACAAGUCCUCUAAUGCCUUGAUGUCUCAGAUUUUUUUCAAUUCUCCCUGAAGAUAAGAAUAGUAUCCACCUCAUAGCGGUGGUGUGGGAACUCCAUGAGACGACGCACGUGAAGCCCCUCACACAGUCUCUGGGGCCACCGCAGACAGCGAACAGGACAGGAGGACUGCCGGUGAUUUAUUAAGAAGGUGAAAUUAUGUGCCCAUUUGGGAACUCUGGGGAGCUCUCGCUGAAAUUAACUUGAGCGUUUUGGAGCCAGAUUUACACGGCAGAAUGGACCUGGGACUGCUCCUUUUGGCAGAAGCUGCUGGGCCACUGUGGAUGAUCUUUCCCAUGUUGCACAAUGUCCCCAAAGCCCUUGGAGCCAUGCUCAGCCCCAUCCUGGCAUCCCCUGUGUCCCUCGUGCCUCUGCCAUGGAGGUCCAGCCACUUUACUUGGCUGUGAGUCUCAUCAACUUGUAGAAAGAAUGUGUGCACAAAUAGAAAACAGAAAAUGUAGAAACGUAUGAAGACAAAAGAACCACCAAGACAAACCAAACCCAUGGUGAUUAGCAAUUCCUCCUUGCCAAGAUAAAAUGUGAACAUUUUA